rnacentral:rRNA from 1 species
UACGUAGGGUGCGAGCGUUGUCCGGAAUCAUUGGGCGUAAAGAGCGCGUAGGCGGCCAGAUAAGUCCGGUGUGAAAGUCACAGGCUCAACCUGUGAAUGCCGCUGGAAACUGUCUGGCUAGAGUCCGGAAGGGGCGAGUGGAAUUCCUGGUGUAGCGGUGAAAUGCGCAGAUAUCAGGAGGAACACCAAUGGCGAAGGCAGCUCGCUGGAACGGUACUGACGCUGUGGAGCGAAAGCGUGGGGAGCAAACAGG